CAGCAGUUCAGCAGUGCAGGGCUGCAGGCUGACCCUCCCUCCCCGCGCACACAGGACUGCCUGCCGGCAGUGAGACUAAACAUCCUUCUGGCUCCUGGAUACUAGACAAGCAGCCCAGCCAUUUACAUUUCUGUUUGACUUGAGUCUUGAAUGUCCAGAACCUCCUGCUCUUCAUUCAUUCCUUUGUCACUCUCUGAGCCUCCUUAACUCUCACUGCCUCAUUCACUCCCUCAUUUACUCCUGCGUUUGCUUACUCACUCCUUCAGUCACUCUUCAACAAGCAUUUAUGGAGCAGCUACUAUAUACUUUCAGUAGACUAGAUGUGGAAUCUAUCAAGGAGAAUAACAAAGUUGCAGGUCUUAAAAACUUACAGUUCUUUUAGUGGACACUGAAGUGUUGGAAAUGACAGCUGCAAACUCUCCUUACCUCCAGAGUGCUGGACUUCUAACUCAUGGUUCCACAGGGACAGACCACCCACGAGGAGAAAGGAUGUGUUUUAUCACAUUCCUCCCAGCCACACCCCUUUGGGAGGAACAGUUCGUGCAGGAAAAUGGGGGACUAUUUGGACGUUGACAAGAUAAAGCUGCAUGAUCCUCAGGGAGAUGGAGAUGAAGGUGGACUCUGAAAACAGGAGAAGCUCAUCUUGAUCCUCAGGAGGCAGCCAGAUUCUUUCCAGAGGAAGGACUACAUCCUCCAGAACACAAAGAAACUUUAGAAGGAAACAGGUGGACUCCAGGAUCUUUUCUGAGAAGUGUCUCUAAGCUUUGCAGGUUCCCACCAGCACCCCGCACUCCCAGGACCCCGGGCAUCCCUGACUGCCGGAGAACUGACCGCAUAAAGGCUCAUCACUUUUUUUUCACAAGAACCCCAGGAAGCAAGUCCGUCCUGGAUCCUCGUGGUACACGUGUGGAGCUGAGGCUUACAAGGCCCAAGCACAUGCUGAGAUACAAUUUGAGAAGAAUUAAAUGGAGGCCAUUUCUUAUAUUUUUAUUAAAAACAAAGUAAACCUA